rnacentral:tRNA from 1 species
GCGGAUGUGGCGGAAUUGGUAUACGCGCUAGCCUAAGGAGCUAGUGAGGUAAAACUCUUGGAGGUUCGAGUCCUCUCAUCCGCA